rnacentral:rRNA from 1 species
AAGGAUUUUCUUACUUUUUUUAUUUUUAAUUUAUUUGGAGAAAUAACUUUAUAUUUAGUAAUAUUUUGAAUAAUGGUUUUUAGUAAUAGUUUAUUAGUACCGUGAGGUAAUUGAUGAAAUAUUUUGAAAUAUUUAUUUUUGUUUAAGUAUAUUUCGUUAAUAGUACCUUUUGUAUCAGGGUUGAUUUAUUCUACUUAAUUUAU